rnacentral:misc_RNA from 1 species
GAUGAAGAACGCAGCGAAAUGCGAUAAGUAAUGUGAAUUGCAGAAUUCAGUGAAUCAUCGAAUCUUUGAACGCACAUUGCGCCCCCUGGUAUUCCGGGGGGCAUGCCUGUCCGAGCGUCAUUACAACCCUCAAGCUCUGCUUGGUGUUGGGCCCCGCCGCCCCGGCGGGCCCUAAAGUCAGUGGCGGUGCCAUCCGGCUCCGAGCGUAGUAAUUCUUCUCGCUCUGGAGGUCCGGUUGUGUGCUUGCCAUCAACCCCCAAUUUUUCUAUGGUUGACCUCGGAUCAGGUAGGGAUACCCGCUGAACUUAAGCAUAUCAAUAAGCGGAGGA